GAUGAACGCUGGCGGCGUGCCUAAUACAUGCAAGUCGAGCGAACAGACGAGGAGCUUGCUCCUCUGACGUUAGCGGCGGACGGGUGUGUAACACGUGGAUAACCUACCUAUAAGACUGGGAUAACUUCGGGAAACCGGAGCUAAUACCGGAUAAUAUAUUGAACCGCAUGGUUCAAUAGUGAAAGACGGUUUUGCUGUCACUUAUAGAUGUAUCCGCGCCGCAUUAGCUAGUUGGUAAGGUAACGGCUUACCAAGGCAACGAUGCGUAGCCGACCUGAGAGGGUGAUCGGCCACACUGGAACUGAGACACGGUCCAGACUCCUACGGGAGGCAGCAGUAGGGAAUCUUCCGCAAUGGGCGAAAGCCUGACGGAGCAACGCCGCGUGAGUGAUGAAGGUCUUCGGAUCGUAAAACUCUGUUAUUAGGGAAGAACAAAUGUGUAAGUAACUAUGCACGUCUUGACGGUACCUAAUCAGAAAGCCACGGCUAACUACGUG
rnacentral:rRNA from 1 species